GACGAACGCUGGCGGCGUGCCUAAUACAUGCAAGUCGAGCGCAGGAAACUGACGGAACUCUUCGGAGGGAAGGCAGCGGAAUGAGCGGCGGACGGGUGAGUAACACGUAAGGAACCUGCCUCAAGGAUUGGGAUAACUCCGAGAAAUCGGAGCUAAUACCGGAUAGUUCAACGGACCGCAUGGUCCGCUGAUGAAAGGCGCUCCGGCGUCACCUUGAGAUGGCCUUGCGGUGCAUUAGCUAGUUGGUGGGGUAACGGCCCACCCAGGCGACGAUGCAUAGCCGACGUGAGAGGGUGAUCGGCCACACUGGGACUGAGACACGGCCCAGAAUCCUACGGGAGGCAGCAGUAGGGAAUCUUCCACAAUGGACGAAAGUCUGAUGGAGCAACGCCGCGUGAGUGAUGAAGGUUUUCGGAUCGUAAAACUCUGUUGUAAGGGAAGAACACGUACGAGAGGAAAUGCUCGUACCUUGACGGUACCUUACGAGAAAGCCACGGCUAACUACGUGCCAGCCGCCGCGGUAA
rnacentral:rRNA from 1 species